CAGAAGGAUAUGGGUGCUACCAUAUCUAAAAGAAAAGGUGGAUAAGCAUCAGAGCUAGACUGCAAACCAGUUUUUGACUAAUAAAUUACAUCUAGUGGAGACCUUGUUUCCAGCACUAUCAUGGGAGCAUGCAGAUUCCAGUUUAGUCACUCAGAGUCAAACAACAGUUACUGGUGGAAGGUCCGAUGAGACAGAUGAUAAACACGAUGAUGGCAAAAGAGAGAGAAAAGCUCCAAGCUGUACAAUUGUAUCAAACAGUGAAUACACAGAAGUAUAGAGAAGCAACGCAUGCCAAAAAUAAUAUGCAACUAUCACACAGAAGGCUGCUAUAAUGAAGCAAGAACUGCAAUUAAAAAAGAGUCAUGCUAAAUUUAAAAAGACGGUGCAUAAUUUAUUUAAAAGAA